rnacentral:rRNA from 1 species
UGAGCAACCUGCCCUUGACUCUGGAAUAACAGCUGGAAACAGCUGCUAAUACCGGAUACGACCUUCGAUGGCAUCAUCCGAAGGUGGAAAGCUCCGACGGUCAAGGAUGGGCUCGCGGCCUAUCAGCUUGUUGGUGAGGUAACGGCUCACCAAGGCUUCGACGGGUAGCCGGCCUGAGAGGGCGACCGGCCACACUGGGACUGAGAUACGGCCCAGACUCCGUAGGGACGG